rnacentral:sRNA from 1 species
AUUAAAUCAUUUGUACCGUAGACAGCAGGGGCGUUAAUCGCUUAAUCUUCCUGCCGAGGACAAGACGCUCAUUUAUUUAAGAUGACGACUUUUCUGCCCUCGUGGUCUACUUUGUAGAUUGCGGGGGCUUUUCAUAU